GUCCCUGUAGCGUAAUGGGAAGCGCGUUGGACUUCUAAUCCAAAAGUCGUGGUUUUGAAUCCCACCUGGGAUG